UACGUAGGGGGCAAGCGUUGUCCGGAUUUAUUGGGCGUAAAGAGCGUGUAGGCGGCCAGGUAGGUCUGCUGUGAAAACUCGAGGCUUAACCUCGAGCUGUCGGCGGAAACCAUCUGGCUAGAGUCCGGAAGAGGAGAAUGGAAUUCCCAGUGUAGAGGUGAAAUUCGUAGAUAUUGGGAAGAACACCAGUGGCGAAGGCGACUAUCUGGGCUUUAACUGACGCUGAGGCGCGAAGGCCGGGGGAGCAAACAGG
rnacentral:rRNA from 1 species